GAUGAAGAACGUAGCGAAAUGCGAUACGUAAUGUGAAUUGCAAAUUCAGUGAAUCAUCGAGUCUUUGAACGCACAUUGCGCCCCCUGGUAUUCCGGGGGGCAUGCCUGUCCGAGCGUCAUUGCUGCCCUCAAGCACGGCUUGUGUGUUGGGCCCCGUCCUCCGAUCCCGGGGGACGGGCCCGAAAGGCAGCGGCGGCACCGCGUCCGGUCCUCGAGCGUAUGGGGCUUUGUCACCCGCUCUGUAGGCCCGGCCGGCGCUUGCCGAUCAACCCAAAUUUUUAUCCAGGUUGACCUCGGAUCAGGUAGGGAUACCCGCUGAACUUAAGCAUAUCAAUAAGGGAGGA
rnacentral:misc_RNA from 1 species